UCUGCUGAAGUUUAUACUUAAAAUACUUCGGUCUGCUGAAGUUUAUACGUUAGAAUCGUCCGUCUGCUGAAGUUUAUACGUUCGAAGUAUUUAACGUAUAAACUUCAGCAGACCGACGAUUCUGUCUGCUGAAAUUUACAUAUGAAAUACUUCGGUUUGCUGAAGUUUACAUGUUAAAUACUUCGGUCUUCUGAAGUUUAUACGUUAAAUACUUCGGUCUGCUGAAGUUUAUAUGUUAGAAUCGUCGGUCUGCUGAAGUUUUUGCUAAAGUUUAUAUGUUAGAAAUGUUGGCCUUUGUUGAACAUUUAACCAGUCCUGGUGGUUCAUCAGUUUUCCGGCGUGAUCGGCUUCAUCUUUAUCCUGGAACUGACGGCGGCGGUGCUGGCGGUGGUUUUUCAGAGCCAGGUCCGAGAGUGGAUUAACGGCUUCUUCCUGGCAAACAUCAAAGCGUACAGAGAUGACAUUGACCUGCAGAACCUCAUCGACUCUCUGCACAGGAUGAACCACUGCUGUGGAGCUCAGGAACCUUUAGUUAAACCUGUAGGAACAUGUUCCUGUUGAGGAAAGUAUCUUGUUCUUUUAACAGAACCACUGCUGUGGAGCUCAGGAACCUUUAGUUAAACCUGUAGGAACAUGUUCCUGUUGAGGAAAGUAUCUUGUUCUUUUAACAGAACCACUGCUGUGGAGCUCAGGAACCUUUAGUUAAACCUGUAGGAACAUGUUCCUGUUGAGGAAAGUAUCUUGUUCUUUUAACAGAACCACUGCUGUGGAGCUCAGGAACCUUUAGUUAAACCUGUAGGAACAUGUUCCUGUUGAGGAAAGUAUCUUGUUCUUUUAACAGAACCACUGCUGUGGAGCUCAGGAACCUUUAGUUAAACCUGUAGGAACAUGUUCCUGUUGAGGAAAGUAUCUUGUUCUUUUAACAGAACCACUGCUGUGGAGCUCAGGAACCUUUAGUUAAACCUGUAGGAACAUGUUCCUGUUGAGGAAAGUAUCUUGUUCUUUUAACA